GGGCCCGCACAAGCAGUGGAGCAUGUGGUUUAAUUCGACGCAACGCGAAGAACCUUACCUGGGCUUGACAUGUAGGUGGUAGGAAUUGGAAACAUGACCGACCCCUCGGGGAGCCUACACAGGUGGUGCACGGCUGUCGUCAGCUCGUGUCGUGAGAUGUUGGGUUAAGUCCCGCAACGAGCGCAACCCCUGUCCUGAUGUUGCCAUCAUUUAGUUGGGGACUCAUCGGAGACUGCCGGUGACAAACCGGAGGAAGGUGGGGAUGACGUCAAGUCAUCAUGCCCUUUAUGUCCAGGGCUACACACGUGCUACAAUGGCCGGUACAACGGGCUGCGAUACCGCGAGGUGGAGCGAAUCCCUUAAAGCCCGGUCUCAGUUCGGAUUGGAGUCUGCAACUCGACUCCAUGAAGGCGGAAUUGCUAGUAAUCGCGAAUCAGCAACGUCG
rnacentral:rRNA from 1 species